UUUAAAGGUUUGAACAACUCAAUUUAUCCAAUUUUCCUAUGAUUUUUUCGGUUACAUGUGAUGUCCUUCUGUUGGUUGCUGUGUCAUAGUAUACAGUAAUCAUACUAAUGGAACAGGAAUUAUUGGAAGGUGGAAGAGAUGUUGUUUCACUGGAAAAUAUACUGCAGCAUCCUCAGCUAAGACCAAACUGGCCACCUCUAUUAUCUCUUGCUUUCCAUUGAUAAAAGGGACUGGGACUUUGCUGCUAGUGCUUUCCCCUGCAGGUCAAACCUAAAAGCAACUCUUGUUUUUUUCUGUAGUAUUCUGGGAAUCACAGAUAACAACCUGCUGCUCCAUUAAGAAACCUGCAAAGCCCAGCAAUGUGUUCAGUAAGUGGUUAUUUGGAAUCCCGGAAUGGUUGCGGUAGGAAGGGACCUCUGGGUCCAUCUGACCCAACUGCCUGCUCAAAUAAGAGCCAGCACCGAGAGCAGGGUGCCCAGGACCAUGCCCAGGUGGUACUCUUUAUAGAAGUAAACUGGAUAGGGAGGAUGUCAGUCUUUUUUUUUUGUUUUUUUUUUUUUUUUAACACAUCUUUCUUACCAUCUGCUUUCCCCAGCCACUUGGAGUAGCCGGUUGUCAAUUGCAUGAUACCACACUGAUGCUGAGGUUCCCUUUGGGACACUGCUGUAAGGCCGAUGCAGUCAUUACCAUCUCUUCCUGGUAACUUGGACCCUGUCACUGAGCUGCUUAUAACACUUGUGACUCUGCUGGCAAUAUGGGACAUUGCAGUGUGCUGCUAAGUGGUUGAUUUGGUUUGGGUACUGUCUGUUAUUUUCCCUGACUAGAGGCAUUCCCUCUCAACUUUUCUUUUUCGGUAGAUGAGUGGUGGUAAGAAUGGAAGAAGCAUAGAAUCAGUAAGGCUAAAGAAGACCUGUAAUAUUAUCAACCAUCAAAUCCAUCCCCACCAUGCCCACUAAACCAUGUUUCUGAGUGCCACAUCUACCCUUUUGUACACCUCCAGAGAUGGUGGAUCCAUCAUCUCCCUGGAUACAAAGGCAGAUUUCAGAUCUCAAAUACAUUAGUGUUAGAGCUUUUAGACAUACAGUACUAUUGACGGUUGGGACUCCUUCAGUGCUUUUAUAAAGCAGGAGGGAACCAUGGAACCAUAGAAACACCAGAGUUGGAAAGGAUCUCCAAGAUCACCCUGUCAACUGUCUUCCUACUACCAGUAUUUCCCCACUAAAUCACGUCCCUUAGUACAACAUCUGAACGUUUCUUGAACACCUUUACGGACGGUGGCUCAACCACCUCCCUGGGCAGCCCAUUCCAGCACCUAAGAGAAGGAGAAGUGAAAGAUGAUCAGAAAAAAGUGCUGCUUUUAACUGAGUGUUUUCAUGGUAAGUGAUUUUUCAAGAUAUGCUAUCUCAAACCAAUGAUGACCAUUAUGGCUUUAGCUGUGGAAAAAGAAAAAAGAAAAGAAGAACCAGAGACCUCUGUGUUGAAAUCUGCACAGCACACUGCUGUGUUAAUAGUGCAGAAAGCAUUUCAUAGAAUGGCUUGGGUUGGAAGUGACUUCAAAAAUCAUCCUGUUCCAACCCCCCCCAUGCUGCAGGCAAGGUUGCCAACCACUAAAUCAGGCACUUGAUCAGGUUGCCCAGGCUCCUAUCCAAACUUGCCUUGAUUUAACAAGCAAGAGUCUCUGCACUGAAAAGAAAGAGAAAAGGAAAAAUAGAGAAACCACUGCAUUUAAGCAAUUCUUAGCUUCCAACAUGCAUUAACCUGGGCACACUUGGGUAGAAAUAGAUAUGGGCUGCAAACUUGUGACAGUACUGGAGGAUGUACUAAUCUAUUCAGUGAUUAGAUAAGUAGAUCUUAAUUUAGGUCUGUGAAUGAUCUCAUUGGACAAAUGACUUGGGCUAUGUCUGUAGUGUUGGGCCAAGGAGGAGUUUCAUGUGGGAAAGGGCCGCAGGUACCUGGUUUCUGCAGAAAGGAGAUUUGAUGUGUGACCUAGAAGUGAUCUGGGCCAGGAUCUAGCAUGUCUCCCAGUCAAUCUCUUUUGGGAAAUGAGAUGAACUCAUAGCACCUGAAUAUUUCCCUAGCAUGGUUUCCAGGAGUAGAAAAUAUCUUAAAAAUCUUUCCUAGAAAUGUCAGAGGAAAUAAUUUUGCUGUUCAGUUCUGGCUUAAGCAGCAGUAAUGAGAUGUUUUCCUUGUUCCGAGAGAAGGAAAAUGGCAGUCCAAAGUUCAGUCCUGAAUUCCUGCUGGCAGCAGUGGGAUUGCAUACAUACAUCUAAGGCAAGUAUUGACAAGAAUACUACUAGGAAAUAUAUGAUGAUUUUUUAGGCUUUCUUUCCAUAAGGUAGAAGAGAAUAAGCGGAGUUGUAUCUGUAUUAACUAUAUCUGCUAUAUCAGAAUUAGCAAUACUGAUGGUACACUUAAUGUUUUUAAUGCCUGUCACAGCCUGGUGUGAUUGGCUUCCUUCUGGUGUGUAUGAGUGAGGAAACUUGCAGCAUACAUAGAACACAGCCUGUGUGUCAUCGGCUCUCCUGUUGAUUUAGUUUCAUUUUCUGUUUAUCUGGCUUGCUCAACUGCCUGUAACAGCAUUAAAGUGUUCUUCUGAUCUUUGUCUCCAUGUGUUCAAAAAAUGUACUUUUGAAAGCCUUCAUGCCAAAGGGACGUUCUGACUGAGGGGCAGCUCUUGGAUUUGUUUCAGAAGCCACUGGCAAGUUACAAACUUCGAGACCCGGGGAACUGUGCAACUGUGUUGCUUCUCAGCAAUUUUAUGGAUACUUGCUGACAACUCAAUACAGAAAGUUGUUCAGUAGAAGAACAUGCAAAUCCUACCUUGGACUGCCGGUCUAGGAUAAUUUUAAGAUAGCUUGUCCACAAAGUGUUGAUGGUGAGGGUUCUGCACGUGAAGAAGAGUGGAAUGUUACUGUCUGAUGAUGGAGGUGGUGGUUACAAACUCUUGAGAAUGAGUGAUGAUCCUUUUAAACCUGCAAAAGAGUGGAGAAGUAGAAAGGCUGAUCUGGAAGAAGAUGCCAAGACCUGAAGAAUUUAGUUGUUCUAUUGAUUUGUAUCUGAAGAAGUUAGAACUCACCCAAAUAAGAGGAUGGUACUUCCUUGCUGAGAAAUACCAGUGCUAGUGAAAAGCAGCAGAAGCGUAUAUGUGCUCUGCAGGAGAGCCAGCAAAUUGCAACAGUGAAGUCUUCUGAGAGCUGACUUUGUUAGCAAGUGAUUUUGAGAGAGAAUAAAUCUACUGAAUUAUGGUUGUACAUAUUAACUGCUGUCCGCUGGACAUGUCAACUAUUACUUAAUUCAAGGUACAAGUUCAAGUGAACUGUGGGCUUUUCAAGCCUCUGGGCACUUUGCUUUGAAUGCCAUUUUUUGAAUGACAUUGUCUUUGACUCCCAAAGUUUAUCUGGUGACCAGCUUUCUGGAGGCUUAUUUGAGAUAAUCUUUUCCUCCUGGAAAAGUUCAUGAAGGUUUUAAGGACAUAAAUUGCUAUUGAACUAUUCAUUUAUCUACAGAAAAGACAUGCUAUAUGCCUACCACUAAUGACAAGGUGGAGAUACAAAGGGUCGACCUUUUCUGUAUCAAUAAAAACAAAUUGUGUUUUAAGAGAAGCACUUUAAGCAAGAAACGUAUUUGGUGGUAUCAUAUACCGAGCACUGUUGGAAAAAAGAAAAACAACACCUGAAGAUGAACUGCAUCUUUUGCUGGCAGAAUUUAAUCACAGGAUUGACAAGCAUGAUGAUGUGCAAGAUGAUGUGGUUAAUGCUCCAGGCUUUCCAUAUUUUGUUGUCAUCGUCUUCUCUGUAAGGAAGAAGCAUUGUAUAGACUAAUUCAUACUCCAGAUUCUUUUGCGGGAGUUGGAGGGACUACAUGAACUUUUGCAGUCUUUCUGCUCUAAUCCAGCAAUUUGGUCAUUUGACUUCCUUGAACUUGGUUUAAGGCUUUACUAGAAAGCUGCUACUUAACGAGCUGAGAGUGGUUGGUUUGUAUUGGAAGAGAACUGGUAGACAACAGGGUUUCCAGAGGAUUUCUCAAUCCCUUUUCCAUUUUUGAUGUCUCCUUUCCCUGUAUUAUAGAUUUCCUUGAAUAAAAAUAUGGAGUAAUAUGCACUGAACAGUGUGUAUAGUAGAUACUGACACUUCUAGGCAGCCUGAAAGUAGAUAGGAGCUUUGUGUGUUGAGGAAAUUCAUUUUAUGCUGUUAACAACAUACAAGACUCCUUUCAAAUUGCCUCAAAUUUCCAGAGGAAGAGAACUGGGAAGGGCAAUUCCACAUCUGUCAUCACUGUUUGCCUCACAGUUCCUCUGGUUUGACAGCAUUGUGGGAAAAAAAUGGUCUGCAUUUGCAAUGCAAGUUGUGAAAUGUUUGCAAAAGUCAUCUUGCUUUAUCCUUUAUGCGUCCACUGAAUAUUCACUUUAGAAAUGUUUUUAUUUUCUAUUCAGGGAAACUGUCUAAAAAGGAAUGUAUCUAAUUGUCAUUUACUGACUACUGGGGAGCUGUAAUCUCCUGGAGCUUCGGUACCAUGCUGAAUUACUGGACUUUGUUUUUCACAUCAACUCUAUCAAGGUUGUGUCUUUUCUGUUAUUUGUGUAAUAGAUAGCAUUGUGCCUCUGGAAACACCUCAUGUCCUUCAGAACCAGUAGUAUAUUCCCUGCCUGUUUAGCAGUUUUUGCAGUGCUUGGACCAAAUUCUUUUAAAUCAGUUGUGUUGUGCAGAAUUUGAGCCACUCCAUUUAGCAGGCAUACAGUUACUUGAUCGUAGCUCUUUUAGUGGCAGUGAAUCUCCCACUUUCUUCAUAAAUUGAAUUCAAUUAUCACUUCUUUACCCAGUCUUCAUGAGCAUGUUUAGACAUCUCCCUUUACAUCUGGAAUUUUAAAUAGAAGAAACAAUAGUAGUGAUCACUUCCGCAAUUUAUGGUCUAAGAGAUGGCCUAAUGAAUUAAUAAAAUUUGCAGCUGCAAAGAAAUUCUGGCUAGGUUUUUCCAGUGCCUUUUUACAAAGUACUCUUAAGCCUCAUGAGAUUCCCUAAAUUCAGCCUGGUGGUUUUUGACAUAAAUACUGACAAAUGGAGUACAUGAUGUCUUGUAGACCUGUUGAAAGUUAUACAAUUGAGUGUUAGAAAAAGGAUAUCAAUAUACUAGAUUCAGGCACCCUCAUGCAACUGUCAAAGCACAUUGCUCAUGCACUGUGUGUUUCAGAUGUGAAUGGUUAAACAAAGGACAAGGUUAAAUCAAGGGGAGAUUCUACAGCUAAUAAAAAAAUA